GUGCUGGCUUCAGUGGCACAUAUACUAAAAUUAGAAUGAUACAGAGAAGGUUAGCAUGGCCCCUGCACAAGGAUGACAGGCAAAUUCAUGAAGUGUUCCUUGUUAAA
ensembl:snRNA U6 U6 spliceosomal RNA